CUGUGAUGUGCUUAGAGUAAUUACUCUUACACUGGUUUAUGUUUUAACUGUGAUUUAAUCUAAUUUGGCAAAAAAAAAAAAAAGAGUAAAAACAGCACAUUCACUGUUGAAUUCUUUUUUUCUUUUAGUAACAGAGUAGCCAUUCGCUGUGUGAGUUCCAUCUCAUGCACUGUGAAUACCUUGACUGACAUGUCAGUUGGCUUUCAUUUGUAGAGGCUCUAAAACAGUGCUGGUCUUCUCAGUACUGGGUUAUCGAUGGUAAAAUGGAAGAGGAAGAAAGACAAUGUGUCUCAUGGGUCAAGACCAGUGAAAAACUGUAACCCAGCUCUCCUAUUUCCCCACUGACUAGGAAAAAGUGGAAUAAUGGAUAUAAGCAACAAAUCAAGCCAAAAUGGAAUAUGUUUGCAAAUACAUUCUUUUUAGAGGUUCAAGAAAAAAGAAAUUACCUAAAGCAUAACUCUUGAAAAAUGCUCUGCAAAUGCUAGUAAACCUAGGGUCUGCAGAGAAGUUUGAAAAACUCUGCACUAGAAAGCAGAAAAAAUAUGAUGGGGAUUUCUAUUGCAGACUUAUUUGUUAAAUUCCCAGAAAAAUGUCAUGAUGGUGAGGGGAGUUUCAUUGUUACAACAGUCAUGCCAAUGCAUCCAUAGUAAAACAUCACAAUGUGUACUUUCAAAGGAUACUCUUGGUGGGUAUGGUUUACAGUUAUUGAAAGCAUGAUGCACUGUACAAUAAAAUGUCUCAGUAUAAGACCUUAAAAUUAAAUUCUUUUUGUUCAAUGCGGUAAUAGUUCUAUGAUUAGAAAUGCAUGCAAUAUAAAUAACUGCAGAAAUUAAUUGAGUUGCAAACACCUGGCUUUGAGUGACAAAUUGUAGAAAUUGGAAUUUCUACCCCGCACUCCUCAGCUUUCUACUGAGACAGCUACUACCACUUGAUUCCAUUUCAGUCAUUUAUUUAUACUUUCCCCAAGAUCAACAAAGCCUGUGAGAGAAACAAAUGGGGUUGUUAGUAGAUAACUUUGUGUCUCAUAAUGUGCCUUGUACAAAGGGCAACCCCAUAAGUAAAUGGUUUUGUUGGAAGAAAUAAAGGUACAAAAAAUCGAUCUUUUUAUGGAAAAUAAUGUAUAGUGCUUCAUCAGUUGAUGACAAGACUUUUUUAAAUGGAUUGUACAACUUGCUAAGAUCUGUUGUGACCCCUCAAAAUGCAGAUGUUGAGGGCUGGGGAUGUAGCUCAGUGGUUCUGCCACCUGCCUCUAAGUGCAAGGUCCCGAGUUUGAUCCCCGGUACAAAAGAAAGAAAGAAAGAGAGAGAGAGAGAGAGAGAAGGAAGGAAAGAGAGAGAAAGAAAGAGAUCCUGAUCCCCAAUAUGACGAUACUAGGAAAUUGCAGCUUUCGGGAGUGAUAGGUUGGAAGAGCAGGACCCUUAUAGAAGAGACGCCAGCUGAGGUGGCGGGGGUGUAGCUCAGAGGUAGAGCACAUGCUGAGCAUGCAUGAGGCCUUGUUUUUAAUCCUCACCGCCAAAAAAAAAAAAAGGAAGAAAGAAAAAAGAAAGAGAAAAAAGCAUCGGAGAGCUGCCUUGCAGGCCCUCACCAGAUAUUGAUUCUGCCAAUACCUUGAUACUGGACUUCCAAGCCUCUAGACCAGUGAGAAAUAAAUUUGCUGCUUAUAAACCACCCCAUUUAUGGUACUUUGUUUCAUCAGCCCAAGCUAAUCAAAAUACCACUCUACCUUCUGUGGGGUGAGUCCGGGUGAGCAGAACUGGUUUGGCAUAUACCAGUGUGAGCACUACAGUGCUACAGUACUGUGUUAACAGUUCUCCAGGAUACAAGGAGGACUCGAAAAGGGACUGGUCAGAUCUACUUGAAGAAGUCUGAAGAGGCUUCAUAGGAUGAAUCCAAAAUUCUAUGAAGUCAUGUGAGUGAUAUCACUGCCUAUUUCCCAGGGUGGCUGUGAAGAUAAAAUCAAAUUGAGAAUGAAUUAUUCCUAAAGGAAUUUCAUCAGUAGGAAGACCCUGGGAGGAAUAAAGCUGCAUUCCCAACUUCCCUUUCUCCUCAGGCCAAGAUAAAAUAAUGUAUUUCAAGGCUGAUAAGACAUAUGUUUUUAUUGAUUGCAACCAGGUAAAGAAGAAAUGCAGGUUGGAGACUGAUCUGAAUAAGCCAGGACCUCCUUGCCUCUUCUCUUUCCUUUCUCAGAAUCACAAAGGUGUAAGGGGGGAGAUGAGGUAUCUACAGGGAAACAAAGAAUAACUGAGAGCCCAGGCUGGAGAGGACACAAAGGCAAAGAGGGGCAGGACAGCUUCAUUGUGUAGAAAGUGGCUGAAUGUCCUAUCUGGAGGUGGGAUGUUCUAUUUCAUGUGCUGAAAGCAGUAAUUUCCCAAUUUAAGGUACAAGCUAUAUGAUUUGAACGUUUUUUGACCUAUGAUCACUUGCUCAUUUUAGUUUGUAAAAACACAGAAAUAAAGAGAAUUGCAACAAUCCUUGCUGUUGUUUGUUCCAUCUGAAACUCAUGUUGAAAUUUGUUUCCCAUUAUGGUGGUGG
ensembl:lncRNA